rnacentral:rRNA from 1 species
UACGGGGGAUGCAAGCGUUAUCCGGAUUUAUUGGGUUUAAAGGGUGCGUAGGCGGUUUGAUAAGUUAGAGGUGAAAUGUCGGGGCUCAACCCCGAAACUGCCUCUAAUACUGUUGGACUAGAGAAUAGUUGCGGUAGGCGGAAUGUAUGGUGUAGCGGUGAAAUGCUUAGAGAUCAUACAGAACACCGAUUGCGAAGGCAGCUUACCAAACUAUAUCUGACGUUGAGGCACGAAAGCGUGGGUAGCAAACAGG